CCAACUGGGCCCAAAAGUGCCAAUAUUUUGUGUGGCAGCAUUAUUUUUCAGCACUGCCUUAACCCUCUUUGGUAUAGAGUUCACCAGAGCUUCACAGGUUGCCACUGGAGUCCUCUUCCACUCCUCUAUGAUGUCACGGAGCUGGUGGCUGUUAGAGACCUUGCGCACCUCCACCUUCCAUUUCAGGAUUUCCCACAGAUGCUCAAUAGGGUUUAGGUCUGGAGACAUGCUUGGCAGUCCAUCACCUUUACCCUCAGCUUCUUUAGUAAGGCAGUGGUCAUUUUUGAGGAGAUGAAGUUUUCAUAAACUCCUUCAGAAGCAUAAAAAGCAGUUUGGGAAUAUAGCAGAUAAGAUUAAUUCAUCCAUGAAACAAUAAACCAUAUCUUGACCAUUCUAAAGCAGGAACAGUCCAUUCCGAGGAGGGCCAUUGAAGAUUCUCCCUGCAAGAGCUCUUAAUGUGUGUCAUGAGCUUAUUUCUUUCUUAUGAAAUCUAACAUAAACUUUUCCUCCUUUUAAAAAAACAACAACCUGAAAGCCAAUUAUGAGAAAUAAUAUAUAUACAUGAAAUAAAACAUUUCUUUUUUUGCCUAAUUUAGCUUUUAAA